GAGGAAGGCUGGGGGUAUGCUUAGCACAUGCAAGUCGAACGGUCACUCCGGGCUUAGUGGGGGAGGGGUGAUUACCGAGGGAGAAUUUGUCCUCAGGUCGGGGACACCAGUUAGUAAUGACUGCUAAUACCGGGGGUGCUUUUGGGUGAAAGAUUUAUUGCUUGAAAAAGAGCUCGCGUCAGAUUGGCUAGUAGGUGGUGUAAGGGACUACCUAGGCUCCGAUCUGUAGCUGGUCUGAGAGGACGAUCAGCCACACUGGAACUGAGACACGGUCCAGACUCCUACAGGAGGCAGCAGUGGGGGAUUUUCCGCAAUGGGCGAAAGCCUGACGGAGCAAUACCGCAUGAGGGACGAAGGCUUUUGGGUCGUAAACCUCUUUUCUCAAGGAAGAUGAUGACGGUACUGGAGGAAUAAGCAUCGGCUAACUCUGUG
rnacentral:rRNA from 1 species